rnacentral:rRNA from 1 species
GAUGAACGCUAGCGGCAGACCUAAUACAUGCAAGUCGAACGGUGUCUUCGGACAUAGUGGCGCACGGGUGCGUAACACGUAUGCAACCUACCUUACAUUGGGGGAUAGCCUUUCGAAAGGGAGAUUAAUACCGCAUAAGACAGUAACUAGGCAUCUAGUAGCUGUUAAAGAUUUAUCGAUGUAAGCUGGGCAUGCGUCCAAUUAGUUAGUUGGUGAGGUAAAGGCUCACCAAGACGAUGAUUGGUAGGGGAACUGAGAGGUCAAUCCCCCACAAGGGCACUGUGAUACGGGCCAGACUCCUACGGGAGGCAGCAGUAGGGAAUAUUGGGCACAGGGCGCAAGCCUGACCCAGCCAUGCCGCGUGCAGGAAGAAGGCGUUCUGCGUUGUAAACUGCUUUUAUAUAGGAAGAAACGGCCCUUGCGAGGGACAUUGACGGUACUAUAUGAAUAAGCACCGGCUAACUCCGUGCCAGCCGCCGCCGUAAGAC